CAGUAGCCGCGGUAAUACGAAGGGGGCUAGCGUUGUUCGGAAUUACUGGGCGUAAAGGGCGCGUAGGCGGCCAUUCAAGUUAGAUGUGAAAGCCCUGGGCUCAACCUAGGAAUUGCAUUUGAUACUGUUUGGCUUGAGUUCGGGAGAGGUGAGUGGAAUUCCCAGUGUAGAGGUGAAAUUCGUAGAUAUUCGCAGGAACACCAGUGGCGAAGGCGGCUCACUGGCUCGAUACUGACGCUGAGGUGCGAAAGCGUGGGGAACAAACAGGAUUAGAUACCCCCGUAGUCCCUGUCUCUUAUAU
rnacentral:rRNA from 1 species